rnacentral:lncRNA from 1 species
GAAAGGGCAGCUUUGUUGAAAAAUGUCUCUUUAGAAACUCAAGGGAAAAAGAAUUGCAAAUGUUUGCCAGGUGUAGAUUGAUGGCAGUGGGAAUAUAGGUAUUUGUAAUAAGAAGACAUUUUACUGAGGAGGAUAAUAGAAUAUCUAGAAACAAUGCAAGUUUGUGAGCCUGUCAUCUUAAGUUACACUGAGGGAGUUAUAAAAACAGUGAAGAAAAUUCCCCUAAAUAGCAGUUGGAUUGAAGUAUCUAUUUUAGGUGUAAGUAAAUAAAUCCUUUUCACACACUCUCCUGUCCUCCAGCUGUGAAAACUGGUAUCUUUCAUGAUUCUGGGCAAGAGUGAGUGGAGGGCAUUUUUUUGUUUGUUUUGUUUUUGUGGUACUGGGAAUUGAACCUGGUGGUGCUCUACCAUUGAGCCACAUCCCCAGCCCUUUUCAUUUUGAGACAGGGACUCACUAAGUUGCCCAGGCUGGCCUUGAACUUGUGAUCCUCCUGCCUCAGUCUUCUGAGUAGUGGAUGUCUGCCACUGUGUCUAGCUGGAUGGCAUUUUUAAGAAGGUAAUUAAUUUGUAAGAUGUUGUCAAUAAAAAUAAGAACAAAGUGAGAUAUAGGAUAGUUUGUCCCACUGUGGAGUAACUUUUAUGUGCUAAACUGUGCUUGGCACACAGCACUUAGUGAGCAAAUAAUUGAAUCGUAUUUCUUCAUAGUAUAAGAGAGAGUUAAUUUCCUGAAACAAGCCUCAUUUGUUCUAACUAUUUUCCUGAUAUAUCUUACUAUGGCUAGUUCUGUGACCUAAGUACCUAUGUGGGUAUACCAUGGUUUGGAGUGUUUUGCCAACAUUUAAAACAGUUGCCAAAUGAAAUAGAGGAUCCCUAGUUAAGUUUGAAUUUCAGGUAAACAAAAUUGUUUUAAUAUAAGUGUGUCCCAAAUACUGCCAACAGCAUUGCUUCUGUUCCC